rnacentral:rRNA from 1 species
UACGUAGGGUGCACGCGUUGUCCGGAAUCAUUGGGCGUAAAGCGCGCGUAGGUGGCUUCGUAAGUCCGUUGUGAAAGUCAAAGGCUCAACCUUUGAAUGCCGAUGGAUACUGCGAAGCUAGAGUACGGAAGAGGCGAGUGGAAUUCCUGGUGUAGCGGUUGAAUGCGCAGAUAUCAGGAGGAACACCAAUAGCGAAGGCAGCUCGCUGGGACGUUACUGACACUAAGGCGCGAAAGCGUGGGGAGCGAACAGG